CCAAUGAGGCAUGCAGGGUCCCCGGAGCAGGGCUGUUCUCCAGUCUUUUCUAGCCUCACACCCCAUGAGGUUCGCCUGGGGAGGAGAGCCCCCAGGUCCUCAGGGACAGCCUCCCACCGCAUCCCAUGUGAGGACAUGACCCCGGGCUCCCCAGGCAGGCAGAGAAGCACACCUGCAUGCGCACGCGCACACACACACACACACACACACACACCACUUUGGGUGCCCAGCUGAGGGGUCAGGAGGGGUGCAUGUCCUGGGAGGGGAGAAUGAUAAGGGGGAGAAGGAAGAGGAGGGGCAGGGGCAUAGGGACUCCUGACAAUAACUCAGAUCCACAGCAGGGGAGGAGGGGUAUCUUCCAGGUGAGUGUCCAGGGGCCCCAAGGUGCCCAGGGGCAUUGCCAGGGCACUGGGAGGGGACAGGGUCUGGGGUCCGCUGUCCACCACCACCCUGGGCACCUGGAAAUAGGAAGAGACACCCCCCUAGUGGGGUGGGAGCUACUGCCCAGGAGACCUCGGCUGAAGCCCAAGUAAUUGGGCUGCCUAGGUGGGGGUCAAUGGGGUCCCAGAGGCUCUGUGACAGCAGGGACAGGGCAGAGCCAUAGGUCCUACCCCUGACGGCAUCCCUAGAAGGAGAAGCCUGAACCCCAUUGUGCAGAUGGGGAGCCUGAGGGGCCCUGAGAGGCACAGGGUCUGUCUGGGUCACAGCCCUGGGCAGGAGAAGGCAGGUCUGAAACCAGCUGUGUCCUCCACGCGACUCAGGCUGCACCCAGGCCUCCCCGUGGGGAGUGGGUGGGCUGUGUUGGUGUAUCUGUAUGGACGGGAUUUAGGGUAGACGGUGAGUACAGAGCUCCUCGGAGGAGCCCUCAGGGGCCUCCUGUGUGAGGAGGAAGUCUGGUGAUGGGACCCCAGGCUGUGGUGACCUCACUUCCCUGAUGACACAGUUGCCCGGAAUUUGGAACCCAGGACACCAGGCAACUGCAUUUCCAUACACAGCCUCCUUACUCGCUCAUUCGCUAGGAGAUCCUGUGAGGAGCAGGAUGUUCUCGUGCUGUUUUCGAACCUCUGGGGGCCCCAGGCUGAGGACAGCGCGCCCUACUAGCAGUGCCCCUCGUGGGGGGUGUCCUGUCAGGGCUCUCCGGCGCCUCUGGCCAUUUGGCAGAAGGGGUCGAAAGAGCACCGCAGAAGAUGUUGGAAGGAGGCUCGCGGACACCAGGUCCCACCUCCCUCCAGUGGUACAGUUGUGCCCCGCCGCCCAGCAGAGCCAGCGUGGACGCAGGGACAAAGUAUCAACAGAACCAUCUCCAGGGGCAGGUACCCAGGACUGCCUGGAAAGGCCCCUGACCUCGCCCAGGCCACAGUUCCUGUACCUCCUACAUUUCACAGAUCCAGAACCUGUCCCUGUUACAGUUGAUGCCAGUGCUCCUGACCGAGAGACUGACCCAUAUUCUGAUGGAGACCUUUGCCUUGACCCCUCUCCUGACCCUGCUGUUGCCCCUGCAACAGCUCCUGCCACUGAUGCUGCCCCUCUACUCAUUCCUGCUCUUGACCCUGACCCUGCGCCAGCUCCUGACCCUGAGCCUGACCAUGACCCUGCUCCUGACCCUGAUCCUGAAAGUGACCAGGACUCUGCUCCUGACCCUAUCCCUCCUUCUGAUCUGGACCCUGGCUUUGCUUCUGCCCCUGACCCUGCUCCUGACCCUGCUCCUGCUUCUGUCCUUAUCCCUUCCCUUGCUCCUGAUCCUGCCCCUUCCCCUGCUCCCGACUCUGACCCUGACCAUGCUCCUGUUUAUGACACUGACCCUGACCCUGCUACUGCCCCCGCCCCUUACGCUGACCCUUCUCCUUCCCCACCUCUGCCACUGCUCCUGCCCCUGCCCCUGCCCCUCCUCCUGCUCAGCUCCCAGAGGGCUCCCAGGAGCCCAUAGCUCUUUGAAGAUAAUUGCUUGUGCAAUUACCCUUCAUUCCAUCACCUGACCCCAAUCUCCCACCCGCAUGUGUCAUCCCCUCACCUUAUAUUCUUUCUAGUAUCUAUUCACUGUGUUUGUAUCUUUACACAUUCUGUAUGGCAUAUACUAUUUCUUUUAAAUAAAUUGAC
rnacentral:lncRNA from 12 species